ensembl:misc_RNA Metazoa_SRP Metazoan signal recognition particle RNA
GCUGGGCAUAGUGGCUCAUGCCUGUACUCCCAGCUAUUCAGGAGGCUGAGGUGGGAGGAUUGCUUGAGCCCAGGAGGUCGAGGCUGCAGUGAGCUAUGAUUGCACCACUGCACUCCAGCCUGGGUGACAGAGCAAGACCCUCUCUCUA